rnacentral:misc_RNA from 1 species
GUUUCCGUUGGUGAACCAGCGGAAGGAUCAUUACUGAGAUCAUGCCCUUAACGGGGUAGACCUCCCACCCUGUGUUAAUACGAUUGUUGCUUUGGCAGGCCGCCCUCGGGCGCUCGGCUUCGGCUGAGGCGUGCCUGCCAGAAGACCCAAACCCUGUAUUUAGUGUUGUCCGAGUACUAUUUUAAUACGUUAAAACUUUCAACAACGGAUCUCUUGGUUCUG